rnacentral:lncRNA from 15 species
AUGUCCAAAACCUCAUCCAAUCAGUACACAGCAUCAGGACCAGAAAACCAUUUUAACCAGUUUAAACCAAGCUCCUCUUUUGACACAACGGAAGAAUCCAGAAUGCAUCAGGCCUGCGACUUGUCUCCCGUCUUGUUGUUCUGCAGCUCACCGAGCAAACAAUCGACCUCCAGUGACCCUGAACACAGCAGAGGUCAGUCUGCAGGUCUUCCUAAUGGGUCCAGCUCUGAUGGAGGCACACAGUACAGACUGGGGAGAACCAGGUCUACAGGUGAGAGUCUACUGGACCUGAUCCAGAACAGACCUGAUUCAGGAUGAUGUAACAAUCUGUUUUUUAAAAUGAAACCUGUAUUUAAUGAUAAAGUUAUAUAUAUCAUAUAGAGUUAUAUAUAUCAUAUAGAGUUAUAUAUAUCAUAUAGAGUUAUAUAAUAAUAAUAAUAAUAAUAAUAUAUUUUAUUUGUAAAGCACUUUUCAUAAAAGAAUCUCAAAGUGCUACAGAAACCAAGAAAAAGAAAAAAAAAAUAACAAAAACACUAAGGGCAAUAACACAUUAAAAUCAGCAACAAAUAAAAAUACAAGUGAUAAAAUACAUUAAGAAAAACAGCUUAAAGAGGAGUUGAAGUGCAGACUGAAAUUAGAAAAGGACAACUUAAGAACGCCUNNNNNNNNNNNNNNNNNNNNUGAUGGAGGCACACAGUACAGACUGGGGAGAACCAGGUCUACAGGUGAGAGUCUACUGGACCUGAUCCAGAACAGACCUGAUUCAGGAUGAUGUAACAAUCUGUUUUUUAAAAUGAAACCUGUAUUUAAUGAUAUUUAUUGACGAUAGUGAAUGUUAGAUAGUCAUAUAUCAUAUAGAGUUAUAUAUAUCAUAUAGAGUUAUAUAUAUUAUAUAGAGUUAUAUAUAUCAUAUAGAGUUAUAUAUAUCAUAUAGAGUUAUA